UACGUAGGGUGCAAGCGUUAAUCGGAAUUACUGGGCGUAAAGCGUGCGCAGGCGGUUGUGCAAGACAGGUGUGAAAUCCCCGGGCUUAACCUGGGAACUGCACUUGUGACUGUACGGCUGGAGUACGGCAGAGGGGGAUGGAAUUCCGCGUGUAGCAGUGAAAUGCGUAGAUAUGCGGAGGAACACCGAUGGCGAAGGCAGUCCCCUGGGCCUGUACUGACGCUCAUGCACGAAAGCGUGGGGAGCAAAC
rnacentral:rRNA from 1 species